ACAAUCAGCCCCAGUCUCCCUGGGAAACCGACGAGCGCACCUGAGCUGGGUUCUGAGCUCCAGCGUUUUGGGGCUAGAAGUUGCGGACUAGUAGCUGAGGCGGCACGGGAGUGUAGGCGCGCGGGGUCGUUGCCGGGGGCACAGAGUGAGAACAAGCAAGGGAGCCCUGCUGAAUUGCAGCUUAGGAAGCCCUGAAUCCUGGAGGCUCUCGUGUGUAUUAUCUGAUUGGAAAGUCUUUACAGCUCACUGACAGCAGUGAAGGCAGUGAGGGGCUGUGGUGUGAUCCAGGAGGCUGAGAAUUAUGCAGUGGGUGCUGUCACCUUGAAGACAUCAGCGUGAUCAGGCAGAUCAUCAUGGUACUGCAUUUCCUGGACACGAUCUUAAUUUUCUUAAUACCUCCACCGACAUUUCAAAUAGCGUCUCUAAUGCCCCAGAGACUUUUAUGCCCCUAAGGUAGUUUUCUUUCUUUUGUGAAGCAGAAGAAGGGAAAUUGUUAAAGGGAAUAUUUUAACUAAAUUUAUUUCCAUAAAACUAUCUUUGUCUUUAUAUCUCAUGGAAAGUGUUAGGUAGCCUCAGGAUUAUAUCUCCGUUGGAAAACUGUAGAUGUAAACCUUCUUGCUAUCUACAUACUUACAUAUUUUUCUGUUGUUAUUUACUUAUGAAUAGCAUUUUGAUUAUAGCAGAAAUAAAAUACAUUAAAUGACUAAGCUCAGAAAUAAGAAAAAAAGGUCAAUGGUGAUCAUUUAUUUGGAAACUAUGAUAUUUUAAUGAUAUUAAUGGUGUAAUUGACAUUUAGUUAAACAUAUUUCAUCGUAAGUAGAGCACUUUAACUCUUACGGUCCACUUAAAAUGUAAUCAUACGUUUAUGUAUUUCUAGUUAAUGUAUCAAACUCAACUGAGUAAUCAAUGUACAUCAUUUAUUUUGCUCCUAAGUUAAUACACUAAGUUAUGCUUUAAAAUUACUAAUUUGCUGCAAUAUCCAAUACUCUCUUUUAAGUCUUACGUCUGCAGAAAAGGAUAUAAACAUUUCAUGACACCAAACCCAAGUAUUUUUGAUGCCCUUGGCAGUGUCAGUUGAACAGACAGUGUCAUUUAAUGUUUGAGACAGCAUCUGAAUUCCUUUUAUUCUUAAAAUUCUAUUUUAAAAUGCAGUUUUUGGAAAGUUAAUGUGAAUAGAAAAAUUUCUAACAUUUUAUGUGCAUGUGUUUUGUUUGUUACAGGCUUAGCAUCUCAAAUCUGAAAAUUCGAAAUCUGAAAUGUUUCUAAAAUUCAACUCUUUUGAGUGCUGAUAUGACUUUCAAAGGAAAAGCUCAUUGGAGCAUUUCAGAUUUUGGAUUUUUGGAUUUGGGAUGUUUAACCAGGGUAAAAUAUAGAAUGCAAAUAUUCCAAAAUCUGAAUAAAAUUGAAAUCUGAAAUGCUUAUGGUUCCAAGCAUUUUGGAUAAGGGAUAAUUAAGCUGUAUAACUUAUAAAACUGAAUAUAACAAAAUUUCCCAACAUGUGGAAAAUGAUGUCUUUUUUCAAAAAUGUCAAUAGCAGAUACAUGGUACAGUAAGUUAGGGGAAAAAAUGAGGUUUCAUAUCUUCUAGUUUCCUAAUUAAAAGGAGCCCAUUCUGGGUUGGAAGAAAGUGUCAGUAAGAUCAUUUCUCCUAUUUGAAAAUCAUACAAAGCUUGUCAGAGUGACUCAGGCCAGGAGUGUAGCUGGGCGUGUAGCUAAAUGAUAUCUCCCCACAUCUAUAUAAUAAGCUGUUACCUGCUUUAAAAGGAAAAGCUCUCAGCAUGACUCUAAUGUUGCAUUUCUGGAAUACAGCUUGAAAAGCUCUUCUCAGGGUUGAACAGAGCAUGAAGGUAAUGGUUAUUAUCUACUCACAUUAAAAAAAAAAAAAAAGAAAGAAACCACCACAGAAAACUACUUACUGUCUUUAGGCUCUACUUUCAAAAGUGCCCUUUAUGAACGCUUUUACACUGUUGAUGGGAGUGUAAAUUAGUUCAACCAUUGUGGAAGACAGUGUGGUGAUUCCUCAAGGAUCUAGAAUCAGAAAUACCAUUUGACCCAGCAAUCCCAUUACUGGGUAUAUACCCAAAGGAUUAUAAAUCAUUCUAUUAUAAAGACACAUGCACACGUAUGUUUAUUGCAGCACUGUUCACAAUAGCAAAGACUUGGAACCAACCCAAAUGCCCAUCAAUGAUAGACUGGAUAAAGAAAUUGUGGCACAUACACACCAUGGAAUACUAUGCAGCCAUAAUAAAAGAUGAGUUCAUGUCCUUUGCAAGGACAUGGACAAAGCUGGAAACCAUCAUUCUCAGCAAACAAGAACAGAAAAUCAAACACUGCAUGUUCUCAGUCUAAGUGGGAGCUGAACAAUGAGAAAACAUGGACACAGAGAGGGGAACAUCACACACUGGGCCUGUUGGGGGGUAGGGGGCUAGGGGAGGGAUAGCAUUAGGAGAAAUACCUAAUGUAAAUGACAGGUUAAUGGGUGCAGCAAACCACCAUGGCAUGUGUAUACCUAUGUAACAAACCUGCAUGUUCUGCACAUGUAUCCCAGAACUUAAAGUAUAAAUAAAUAAAUGAAUAAAUAAAUAAAUUUUAAAAAGUGCCCUUUAUGUGUGUGUGUGUGUAUAUAUACAUAUAUAUUACAUAUAUGUUUUAAAUAUAUUUAUUUUUUGUAGUUCAGAGGUCUUUUAUCUUUCUAUACCUAUUAUGCCAUGAAUUCAUAGGGAAUAGGUUCCAGCAGCUCAGGCUCCUCUCCA
rnacentral:lncRNA from 10 species